UGUCGCGCCAACAAAAACCGCCGGAUUUCCGGCGGUUUUUCGCAUCCGGAACCAUCUGGUUUUCCAUUGGCCCCGGGGCCGGGAAAACACUGCAACCUUGCUGGACAUGGCCGUUUCGCUUUGCUAAACGACGCCGUCCUCAACGGACAUCCGGAUUGGAUCCGGGCGCAUGCAGCGAUAUCGGAGAGGCUUGAACACCAAACUCCCAGGUUCGAGCCCUGGUGCGCCCACCAAACAAAUCAGACAUCUCGUUGUUCUGGAUUGG
rnacentral:misc_RNA from 1 species